rnacentral:lncRNA from 1 species
UUUUAUUUCUGACUUUAGUUUGAAUGUUCCUUUGAUAGAAGUAAACAGACGGAAAAUAACUUUCAGCAUUGCAUUUUUCUUUAUUGUUGCAGAUGUCACAGUGUGUAAAUUCUUGUGUGUAAUGCUUAACAUAUGCAGUUAUUUGACAGAAGACAAAUGCAGAAAAUGCUUAAGAUACAUUGUUGUUAAAUUGAACAUAAAACACAUGAAUGGUUCAGAGCAAACGUAAAACACUUCAUUGAACUAAUAUGAUUUUGUUUUGUUAGAAGACAAAGGGUG